rnacentral:rRNA from 1 species
AUUGAACGCUGGCGGCAUGCCUUACACAUGCAAGUCGAACGGUAACAGGUUAAGCUGACGCGUGGCGAACGGGUGAGUAAUACAUCGGAACGUGCCCAGUAGUGGGGGAUAGCCCGGCGAAAGCCGGAUUAAUACCGCAUACGACCUAAGGGUGAAAGGGGGGGAUCGCAAGACCUCUCGCUAUUGGAGCGGCCGAUGUCAGAUUAGCUAGUUGGUGGGGUAAAAGCUCACCAAGGCGACGAUCUGUAGCUGGUCUGAGAGGACGACCAGCCACACUGGGACUGAGACACGGCCCAGACUCCUACGGGAGGCAGCAGUGGGGAAUUUUGGACAAUGGGCGCAAGCCUGAUCCAGCCAUGCCGCGUGCGGGAAGAAGGCCUUCGGGUUGUAAACCGCUUUUGCCAGGGAAGAAAUCCUUUGGGUUAAUACCUCGGGGGGAUGACGGUACCUGAAGAAUAAGCACCGGCUAACUACGUG